CCUACGGGGGGCUGCAGUGGGGAAUAUUGCACAAUGGGCGCAAGCCUGACGCAGCGACGCCGCGUGAGCGAUGAAGGCCUUCGGGUCGUAAAGCUCUGUCCUAAGGGAAGAAUAAUGACGGUACCUUAGGAGGAAGCCCCGGCUAACUACAUGCCAGCAGCCGCGGUAAUACGUAGGGGGCGAGCGUCAUCCGGAAUCACUGGGCGUAAAGGGUGCGUAGGCGGCCCUGCAAGUCAGGAGUUAAAUCCCUCGGCUCAACCGAGGUCAGCUCUUGAAACUGUAGGGCUUGAGUGCAGGAGCGGAGAGCGUAAUUCCUAGUGUAGCGGGGAAAUGAGUUGAUAUUAGGGGGAAUACCAGUGGCGAUGGCGGGUCUCUGGACUGCAAAUGACGCUGAGGCACGAAAGCGUGGGGAGCGAACAGUAUUAGAUGCCCCGGUAUUC
rnacentral:rRNA from 1 species